rnacentral:rRNA from 1 species
UAAGGAAUAUUGGUCAAUGGGCGGAAGCCUGAACCAGCCAUGCCGCGUGCAGGAUGACUGCCCUACGGGUUGUAAACUGCUUUUGUCCAGGAAUAAACCUAGAUACGUGUAUCUAGCUGAAUGUACUGGAAGAAUAAGGAUCGGCUAACUCCGUGCCAGCAGCCGCGGUAAUACGGAGGAUCCGAGCGUUAUCCGGAUUUAUUGGGUUUAAAUGGGUUGGCGUAGGGCGGCCCUAUUAAGUCAGGGGUGAAAUACGGUGGCUCAACCACCGCAGUGCCUUUGAUACUGAUGGGCUUGAAUCCAUUUGAAGUGGGCGGAAUAAGACAAGUAGCGGUGAAAUGCAUAGAUAUGUCUUAGAACUCCGAUUGCGAAGGCAGCUCACUAAGCUGGUAUUGACGCUGAUGCACGAAAGCGUGGGGAUCGAACAGGAUUAGAUACCCUGGUAGUCCACGCCCUAAACGAUGAUAACUCGAUGUUGGCGAUAGACAGCCAGCGUCCAAGCGAAAGCGUUAAGUUAUCCACCUGGGGAGUACGCCCGCAAGGGUGAAACUCAAAUGAAUUGAC